ensembl:lncRNA
CCUUUCUCUUGCCCUGAUGUUCUUCCUGAGACAUGAAGCAUACAUUUUCUCAGUGAUUCUAGGUCCCCGGCUAGUGACGGAGACCAGAGCGGGUUUCUUUUCUUCUCUGCAGCCCCAGAGCAGCUGUAAUAUUUAAGGAUAUUAAGUCUUGCUGCAGCAGGUAUAUGUAUUUCCACUCCAUAAGAAGGCAAAAAAAAAAAAUGUUCAAGGUCAAAGAGACAAAUGCGUCAGCUUUCUCCUUCCCUCUCUCCCCCUUUCUUCUCUACAUUAGGAGGAUUCCUGUGUGUAAAAUGCGAAUCUGACGGUGGUGUGCCUUUAAAGUGCCAGUUGUGUGCCUUCACGUGUUGCAAAGCAUGCUGGGAGAGUCUCCUAAAGGUUGCCAAGAAGUGUCCAAGAUGCCAAGCUGAUACCAAGAGAAGGCAUUUGGCUCUGUCGUACUGGCCUGAUCCCCAGUGAGAGACAUGGGACAUGGACAGUGCCUGCUGCGUAACCCCGGACAUACUUAGCCAGCCUGUGGGAAGGAAUCAAAGUCCACUUUUGCUCUAAUCAAACAUUUUCUAUUCCGGACUGCUUUGCCUCUCUCUGUCGCCUUCCUCUUUGCUGAAGUUUGUCUGUCAUCAGAACUCCAGUGCACAGGGGAAGAUGAGAGAAAGCGGGACAGUCUUUUGGAUUACAAUUACCCAGCUAUUUUAAAGCACGUAACACUUUUCUAGUUUUCGGUCCCUUCAGGAUGACAGUUUAAACCAAAGGAUUACAAUUGGGUCCUUUUCAGUGACGCCAAGUCCUGCCGAUCCUGUUUAUCUUCAGCUUGUUCGAGAAUGUAUCAAAAGGGCUGCAUAAACAUGCCAGCUAUGUGAUUUGGCCUGGACAAACCUUCUUCUCUGCAUAGCUCUCACUCUUCGUGAUUUUGUCAGCAUUGUUCACGUGUUCAUCAUUCAGGAAUUAAUGUAAAGCCUUCAUGCAAUCGAAGCAGCUUGGCCUCCCAUGGGAUGCUUGUAGAAGCGAUGCUGUCAGUUUGUGGGUAGCAAAGAACAACUGAAUUGGUUGCACAAGCUGAGGAGGUCAGGGCUGGCUGCUUCUAGAACAAGAGUUUUUAAAAAAUCAGAUGCAAAACUCCAAAGAAAGUUGAUCAUGUGCUCCUGGAAGGUAGCGUGUGCUCUUGUUUGGCUGAAUGUCGUCUUGAGCCGUCCUGUGUUCAUCCAGGCCUCUAGUCAUCUGUACUUUUUUUUACUGAAGUAAGAAAUUGUGUCAGUGUCCAAAAGUGGAUACUAUGUGGUCUUGAAACUAUUAAAAAUAAAAUCUGUUUGAAUUUGUGUAAUGAGUGCGAUGCAUAUAGUCAUAUCCAUGUCAGCAGCAUGUCAGACACUACAUUUCCAAUCCCAGGGAUGCUGACCGACAACAAACCCACUCACUGAGAAUUGGGACAUAAGAGGUUUAUAUUUCACAAUCUUUUGUUUUAUUCAUUUCAGCAUGAGAAUCUCAUGGUCAUCCUUUAGUAAGGAAAGGGUGCAUGGCAAAGCAAAGCAAGUUUUAUUUUGGUGUAACAGUUUAUUUCAAAUGUAUGCAAACCGUUCUGUAGAAUUGUUUUCCUUGGGAAAGAAAAAUGCACAUGGGAAGAAGUAUAUUGUAUUUGAGGAAUAACAGACUCUGACAUUCAUUACAACAAAUACGUAAAAUAAGGACGGGCCAAGAUAGUCAUUUCCAAAUAUGUGGAAGUAUUCCCUGCAGAGGAGAUGUUGUGGAUUUGGCAGAUGCUGAGUGUUUUCCAUUAUAGUUCAGAUGUGCAGACAUCUCUGGCUUCCAGUUAACCACUUCAAACGAAGCAUAUACAAAAUUGGUUCUAGACAAAUUCAAUUUUGGCUUUGUAUAGUAAGGAUUAGGAAGUAAUCCUAUGGCCCAAGAUAGCAAUCAGAGGGGUGAUAAGAUAAUGUGGCUCUGGAAACGAGAGCACCCCUCUCCCCCUCACGGCCAAAGGGAGUGGUAAACACUCCUGUGCAGGAACGAUACUGAUUAUUCAGACCUAUUUUUAAGGUAGGAUUUCUGAGGGAUUUAUUUAUUUAUUUGCCCAGGGCGGGGGGAAAAUGCUACUUAAAAAAACCUGUUAUAUUUAUAUCCCACCUUUUUUCCUACGUGGUACCUAGACAGCUGACAUAAUUCUUUCCAUUUUAUUCUUUCCACAACAACCCUGUGAGGCAGGCUAGGCUAAGAAUCAGUGACUGGCCCAAAGUCACCCAGUGGGCUUCCCAGACACGUGGGGAAUAGAACUUCAGUAUCCCACAUCCUGGUCUACGAAUCUCACCACUCUGCCAGUUCGUUGCCUGUGGGUAGCUCCCCAACUUUGACUUCCUCUUCAACAUCCUCUAUUCCACCUGCUGAUCAGUUUCUUCAAGAACUUCGGAUCUGACAUCUGCUUGUAGCCAAAGAAACAUUUAAA